GUAGUUAUUCUAUGGACAAACACGACUGAAAAGAUUCAGAGAAUGUGGAUUCAAUACUUGUUUCAGAGAAUGUUUGGAGUGAAAAUUACAGCACACCGACAGAAAAAGUGCUACGCUUACAACAUGACGGAGUCGGAGCAUUCAUUGAUACAUACCCCUAGAGGCCUGACAUCAGUAGAGUCGAAGGUUCUAACAUUGGUUACAAAUGGUACACAUCUUGCGCAUAUAACUCAUAGAGAAUCGAUUGAUCAAUUCAGUCGUAACUUCGGGCAUUUUUGUGGAAAUUCAAUGGUUUAUCUUUUGAACUGAAUCUUGUAUAAUAAAGAAAUAGUCGUA